AAAUUUUCAGGGACUAUAAAUCAUAUGAGGAUUAUCCAGGAACACAGUGGGUUUUGUGGUCAAAUUGCUUACAAAAUUUGGAAUUGAUAAUGCCUAGAUUCUGUGUAUACUUUCGUUCUCGAGGCACUAGUGUUCAUAGGAUAAUUGCUGAAAGAUUUAAUCUUUCUUUCGAGAGCAUCCGAUUCCAGUUUACCAUUGCUGUUGGAUCAAUU
rnacentral:misc_RNA from 1 species